rnacentral:rRNA from 1 species
AUUGAACGCUGGCGGCAGGCCUAACACAUGCAAGUCGAGCGGAUGAAGGGAGCUUGCUCCUGGAUUCAGCGGCGGACGGGUGAGUAAUGCCUAGGAAUCUGCCUGGUAGUGGGGGAUAACGUCCGGAAACGGGCGCUAAUACCGCAUACGUCCUGAGGGAGAAAGUGGGGGAUCUUCGGACCGCACGCUAUCAGAUGAGCCUAGGUCGGACUAGCUAGUUGGUGGGGUAAAGGCCUACCAAGGCGACGAUCCGUAACUGGUCUGAGAGGAUGAUCAGUCACACUGGAACUGAGACACGGUCCAGACUCCUACGGGAGGCAGCAGUGGGGAAUGUUGGACAAUGGGCGAAAGCCUGAUCCAGCCAUGCCGCGUGUGUGAAGAAGGUCUUCGGAUUGUAAAGCACUUUAAGUUGGGAGGAAGGGCAGUAAGUUAAUACCUUGCUGUUUUGACGUUACCAACAGAAUAAGCACCGGCUAACUACGUG